rnacentral:rRNA from 1 species
AUUGAACGCUGGCGGCAGGCCUAACACAUGCAAGUCGAGCGGUAACAGAUCUAGCUUGCUAGAUGCUGACGAGCGGCGGACGGGUGAGUAACGCGUAGGAAUCUACCUAGUAGUGGGGGAUAGCCAAGGGAAACUUUGGGUAAUACCGCAUACGAUCUAAGGAUGAAAGGGGGGCCUCUCUUUGAAGCUCUCGCUAUUAGAUGAGCCUGCGUAAGAUUAGCUUGUUGGUGGGGUAAUGGCCCACCAAGGCGACGAUCUUUAGCUGGUCUGAGAGGAUGAUCAGUCACACUGGAACUGAGACACGGUCCAG